UUGACCCAUUUUGGUGAUGAAAUGUCAACUCUUCCUCCCAAGCCCCAUGAAGUUCACCUAAAGCAACCCUCAAACACAAACUCAUGUCAAACACUGACAGUGGGUGUUAUUAGAAAUGGUUAAGAUGAAAUGGUCAUAUUGGCAACUACAAAACUUAAAUCAUGUUCAUGUUAUCUCUAAUCACAAUGCCCAAAUUCAUCCAUCAGGAAAGAGACAGUGGAGAUAAAGCAAGCACAAGCAUUUGGAACGUUAAUAAAAAGGCCAAGGAAUACUGUACUGCUGAUUGGAAAUUUUUAGAUUAAAGUCUACAUUUCAACCUUUU